CCCUGCGCGCCAGCUUCAGGUGCCCCCGUUCGCGGGGGUGAAACAGGGAAGCCGGUGCGCCACGCUCUGACCGUGGCAAUUCCGGCGCUGCCCCCGCAACGGUAGGCGAGUCUAGAAACCGCAGUUGGCCACUGUGCUCCGGCAUGGGAAGGCGCGGUAUUCGGGAACCCCCACGGGUUCCGCUCGCAAGCCCGGAGACCGGCCUGGCGCAUUUCCACGGC
rnacentral:ncRNA from 2 species